rnacentral:lncRNA from 1 species
CAGCUUCAUCAAAAACUACCUUGACCGAAAACUUUAACCUGAAACUCCCCCUUUCAUUUUCUAUGUUCAGUGGACCGUGAAAUUGGGGUCAAAAGUCUAAUUUGGCUUUAAAAUUAAAAAGAUCAUAUCAUAAGCAACAAGUGUACUAAGUUUCAAGUUGAUUGGACUUCAGCUUCAUCAAAAACUACCUUGACCAAAAACUUU